CAUUUCUCCUUGCGCUCUUUCUGAUUGGUCAACACACAAACAGACAUCCCUCUUGUCACACACAUCAAGCGAUAGAAUCCCUCUGUCAACCCAGACAUCCCUCUGUCAACACAGACAUCCUCUGUCAACACAUCAACACAGACAUCCCUCUGUCAACACAUCAACACAGACAUCCCUACUGUCAACACAGACAUCCUUCUGUCAACACAUCAACACAGACUCCUCUCUGAUCAAAAUCAACACAGACAAUCCUCUCUGUCAAACAGACUCCCUCUGUCUCACAAUCAAC
rnacentral:lncRNA from 1 species